AGAUAAUCGGUUUUGGCAUCCCGCAUAAAUGAAAACCAUCUACAGUAUUCUUGCUACUAUUCACUCGCAUUAAGGAGUACUGUAGCUAAUUGUGUAAUCAUAGAUGUACAAUUGCCUUAUCUUCCGUUCUUUCGAAAUAAACAAUAAUAAACUGUAAAUAAUUUAUACAAGUUUUGUUUUGUUCCGGUGUUGAAUCACAGUUAAGAAUUAUAUCUUCCAAUGAUAAAUAUGCGAUUAACAUAUUAGUUCAGCAAUGAUGCUUAAAAGACCACAGAAUUAUUUUCCCGUGUAGCUGUUGUUGAUUUCGUU